rnacentral:misc_RNA from 1 species
GGCGAUCAAAACCCUCCUGCAUCCCAUGCUUCUAAUUUUCUCCUUUGGCUUAUCGACUGGGGAUUAGGGUUUAUCCAUAGCCUUUCAUAGCAGGGGACCAAUAUUUAAUUCAACUAAAUUUUGUUGCUUGUUGCUCUACUUUGAUCAGCUACCUGUUGAAAUCAACUCUUUAAUUAUUGAAAUGUUGGACGAGAGCAAGUUUGAUGUGCAUUUAAAGUUAUGGGCACUGAGAAUCCCUCGUGAAUUCUGCAAGGUUUCCACUCGCCUAUUAAACGGGUACUUGCUUGAUAAAGCUCGUGUUAAACCCAUUAAUGAAGAUCCUACUUGUGACAAGAAUCGUUAUAUGAUAUUGUCUGAAAGUGUUCAAAAUCCUGGUGAGAAAUUUUGGAUGGUUAGUGUUAAGAAACUACCAAUUGUGAAAUUAUUGUAAGACCCUUUUUAAUCCUCUUUCUCUGGUUAAUGUAUCCUAAAUGUCAGAUUUUUAUGUUAUGAUGAUAGUAUGAAGUUCUGAUAUGAGGAACUCCGAGGAAUAAAGGGUGGGAAUGUAAUCCAUUAAGUGACAGAAAUAUAGCUAGCUAGUUAGUUAGCUAGUUACAAGUUGUUAAGAGGUUACAUGAUCAUUUUUGUGAUCCAUGGGAGAAUAUAUAUGUAACCUGUUCUAGAAAUUGUUGAUAAAUAUCUGAAUCAGAAUUCCUUUCUUUCCUUUAUUUAUUUUUUCUGUCUUCUCUGAGUCUUGUUCCUCUCUUGUUAUCUAAUAAUCCUAAGUAUCAAGUUAUGAUUAAUGGUGCAAAGAGUUUUCUUCACUUUUAAUGGCAAUUUCUCUUUUGGAACAGAUUUGUCUGAUAUUCCAGCUGAAAAACUUGAUGAGCUGAGGAAAUUAUGCAAGAUUGAAGUAGUUCCAUAUUCUAUUACUCUUGGAUAUUCCUACUGGGGUGCAGGUUGGGGGCUGUGCUUUUCUAAUCAUACAUACAAGUAGUUACGAAAAUGUUAAAACCUUCUGAAAGUUGGCUGCUAUAUUCGCACCAACUGUUUUCUGACUCAUUUAUGCAACUGUCAAAUAAUUUUAUUCAGCAAUUAGUUUUGCGGGAAAAUUGCCAUGCACAUGAUUUCUCCUGGUGUUUAUUUUUAGCUUACCGAAGUUUCUAUCAACUUAUUUAAACAGCAAAGUCUAUAUCAGAUGCCCCUGGUCUUCUGUGUCAAUAUGCAAUGCCUCUGUGCUGAUUGUAAGAAUAAAAUAUAAAAUUUCAUACUUUAAGGGCUAGGGUUAAAUUUAUAUUGACAAUUCCAGUAUCGGAUGCCCCCAGGCUUUUGUUAAUAAUGAUAUCUAAGUCAAAUAUAUAUAUUGAUGAAUGGCUUAACUACCUGAGCUUUUAUUGUUGCUUGCAGAUCAUAUAUUGAAGCAGAUCCUACCUCCUGGAGUGGAGAUCCCUUCGUCUUUUGAAACAAUAGCUAAGUAUUCAAUUUAUGUUGUAUUCAUCUUGGACUUUCCAUUUUCCUGCAAUUUCCUCUAAAGUCUUGCAAGUUCUUAUAUAUUAUUAAUUGUAGUUUCAUGAUUACUUGCGUGAUGGCCAUCACUGAUGGUAGAUUUAUCUGAUGAAUGAAGUAUUGUUCCUUAUACCUGCAGGUCACAUUGCACAUUUGAACAUACAUGAUGAACUGCUUCCAUACAAGGAUGUCAUUUCUAAAGUUAUUUAUGAUAAAAAUUAUCCCAGGAUCAGAACAAUUGUUAAUAAAGUUGGAACAAUUACAAAUGAGUUUCGAGUGCCGAAGUUUGAAAUUUUGGCAGGAGAAAAUGAUAUGGUCACAGAAGUGAAGCAAUAUGGGGCAACAUUCAAGCUUGACUAUAGCUUGGUUUACUGGAAUUCAAGGUUGGAACAUGAGCAUAUAAGGCUAGUUUCUCAAUUCCAACCAGGGGAGACAAUUUGUGACAUGUUUGCUGGCAUUGGUCCUUUUGCGAUUCCGGCAGCGCAGAAAGGAUGUGUUGUUUAUGCAAAUGAUUUGAAUCCACACAGUUUUCAAUAUCUGAGGAUUAAUGCAAAACUCAACAAAGUUGAUGAUCGCAUUUAUGCAUACAACAUGGAUGCCAGGAAAUUUAUUUCCCAACUGAUGGCAGCACCAAUUUGUCAAGAUAAUUUAGAAUCUGAUGCAUCCACUCUUAAUGCAUGUGGUAAUCAAAGGGUACAGACCAAUGAGGGAACUCAGGUGGCAAGUGAUACUGUUGAAACUGAUCAUGAGGAUGCCCAAGAUUCAUGCUGGCAGGCUGAUGCAUCUGUAGCUACAGUCAAAAGGCCUUCAUAUUGUUUACAGGAAGAAAGUGAAGACACCCAUGGUGCUGCUAUUUCCUUCACUUCUAAGAGAAAAGGAAGUGCAAAUAAGAGAAUGAGAGCCUCUGAGUCGCCCAAUACUAAGCCUUGGGAGCAUGUUGAUCAUGUGAUAAUGAACCUUCCUGCAUCUGCUUUACAAUUUUUAGGUACAAUUUAUAUUCUUCUGGCUACUCUUUCUCAUUCGUGGAUACUCUUUAUGUAUAUGGCUAGCAGUUUGUGGUUAUGUAGCACCAGUUACAUCAUUUGCCUCCUUACUUGUGCCUUUUCCUCCCUUUGAACUGUUUUCUUUUUGGAAAUUCUGUUCACCUUUAACUGAUUUAGGACAGGCCAAAAUAAUUCUUUUAGUUGCAGGUUUGUACAUUUCUUUAGUGGACAUCAUUUGGUCUCUGUUCAUUCUAGAAUAUGAAUUUCCUACUAUGUGAUUUUUGGGGCAUAUUUCAAUUCAAUUUCAAAAUGCUUUUCUCUGUUUAUCAUCAAUGCUAUUGGUACUUGUUCCAUUCAUUGAGGGGGUUUUCGUGCUGAUCUCAUAUCUUCUUUAAUCACGUCUCUUGGCUGCACAGAUGGUGAUUAAUCCUAUUCUUGCUGAGGAAAAGUUGGGCAAAGAUCUUUUUCAGUGUUUCUAUGUUGACCGUGUAUCGUAAUUGCUUUGUCUAGACAUUUUCCAUCACUGCUCAAAUCUGUUCUGUUACUAUGAAUAUUUAACUGAAAAAAAUAAAAUAAUUUGUUUCUUUUUCUCCCCUCUCAGAUGCGUUUCGGAGUGUUAUCCAGAGGAAAGAUUGGAAGGGGCUUCUUCCUUGGAUUCACUGCUAUUGCUUCAUGAGGGCAAACGAAACCAAAGAAUCUAUAAUCUUGGAGGCAGAAACUGCUGUAACUGCUCAUAUACAAGACCCGGUAUUUCACAGGGUUAGGGACGUUGCUCCAAAUAAGGCAAUGUUUUGCUUAAGCUUUAGGCUACCAGAAGCAUGCUUUAAAGAUAAUGGUGCUAACCUUCAUUCUGCAAAUGGAAAUACAUGAUCAUUCUUUGCUUCGAAAGAUGAUGCUGCCAACUUUUACAACUCAAUAUUUAGGAUUGUGAUGGACUUCGUCCCUUGUACUCUAAUACAUUAACAGAAACAUAAAGGAAAAUUUUAACAGCAGAGACGAACUUUGGAUUCAAAAACUAAUAUUUCAAGGAAAACUAGUAUAAAAUGCGUAAUUCAUUUUCUUUACAAUUUUAUACUGUUGUCAAUGCAAUGACGUACAUUCACUUCUAAUGGUCAAGAACUCAGUUAUUUGUUAUGAUUAAUGUCCCG